rnacentral:snRNA from 1 species
GAUUUUUUUCGUCAUCUUU